rnacentral:ncRNA from 1 species
AUUUUAUUGAGAUAAUUAAUAUUAAGAAAAAUAAAAAUUUUGUAAUAUUUUUAAUUUUUAUUAAAAAUAAAAGAAAUUUUGAUUUAGUAAAAAAUUUUAUUAUAGGAUAAAUUUGUGCCAGCAUCUGCGGUUAUACAAAUUAUAAAAAUAAAUUUUAUUAGUUUAUAGUUAAUUUAUUUAUAAGUGUAUAAAAUAAAAUUUAAAUUAUAAGGUUAAAUUUUUUUUUAAUAAUUAUUUUAAAUUUAGUAUGAAAUGAAUCUAUUAAAUUUUUAAAGUAAACUAGGAUUAGAUACCCUAUUAUAAAAAUAUAAAUUAAUAAACUUAGGUAGUAAUAGUUAUAUUCUUGAAACUUAAAAAAUUUGGCGGUGUUUUAAUCUAUUUAGAGGAACCUGUUCUAUAAUUGAUAUUCCACGUUUAAUUUUACUAAAUUUAAUAAAAUUUGUAUACCGUCGUUAACAGAUUAUUUUAAAAGAAAAUAAUAUUCAAUAAUUAAAAUAAUAAAAUAUUUCAGAUCAAGGUGCAGUUUAUAAUUUAGAAGAAAUGGGUUACAAUAAAUUUAUUUAAAUGGAUAAUUUAUUGAAAUAAUAAGUUUAAAAGUGGAUUUAAUAGUAAUAUAAAUAAUUUAAUUUAUAUGAUCAUAGUUCUAAAACAUGUACACAUCGCCCGUCGCUCUUUCUUUUAAAGAAAGAUAAGUCGUAACAAAGUAGGUUUACUGGAAAGUGUAUCUAGAAUGAU